rnacentral:rRNA from 1 species
AAUAGAUACCCGGGUAGUCCAUGCCGUAAACGUUGGGCACUAGGUGUGGGGGACAUUCCACGUUUUCCGCGCCGUAGCUAACGCAUUAAGUGCCCCGCCUGGGGAGUACGGCCGCAAGGCUAAAACUCAAAGGAAUUGACGGGGGCCCGCACAAGCGGCGGAGCAUGCUGAUUAAUUCGAUGCAACGCGAAGAACCUUACCAAGGCUUGACAUGCACCGGACGGCUGCAGAGAUGUGGCUUUCUUUGGACUGGUGCACAGGUGGUGCAUGGUUGUCGUCAGCUCGUGUCGUGAGAUGUUGGGUUAAGUCCCGCAACGAGCGCAACCCUCGUUCUAUGUUGCCAGCACGUGAUGGUGGGGGCUCAUAGGAGACUGCCGGGGUCAACUCGGAGGAAGGUGGGGACGACGUCAAAUCAUCAUGCCCCUUAUGUCUUGGGCUUCAAGCAUGCUACAAUGGUCGGUACAAUGGGUUGCGAAACUGUGAGGUGGAGCGAAUCCCAAAAAGCCGGCCUCAGUUCGGAUUGGGU